rnacentral:rRNA from 1 species
AUUGAACGCUGGCGGCAGGCCUAACACAUGCAAGUCGAGCGGCAGCGACAACAUUGAUUCUUCGGAGGAUUUGUUGGGCGGCGAGCGGCGGACGGGUGAGUAAUGGCUGGGAACCUGCCCUGACGUGGGGGAUAACAGUUGGAAACGACUGCUAAUACCGCAUGAUGUCUUCGGACCAAAGAGGAGGACCUUCGGGCUUCUCGCGUCGGGAUGGGCCCAGUUGGGAUUAGCUAGUUGGUGAGGUAAUGGCUCACCAAGGCGACGAUCCCUAGCUGGUUUGAGAGGAUGAUCAGCCACACUGGAACUGAGACACGGUCCAGACUCCUACGGGAGGCAGCAGUGGGGAAUAUUGCACAAUGGGCGCAAGCCUGAUGCAGCCAUGCCGCGUGUGUGAAGAAGGCCUUCGGGUUGUAAAGCACUUUCAGUCGUGAGGAAGGUAGUGUAGUUAAUAGCUGCAUUAUUUGACGUUUAGCG